AAACAACUCUCAGCAACGGAUAUCUUGGCUCUUGCAUCGAUGAAGAACGCAGCGAAAUGCGAUACGUAGUGUGAAUUGCAGAAUUCCGCGAAUCAUCGAGUCUUUGAACGCAAGUUGCGCCCGAGGCUUGACCAAGGGCAUCUCUGCCAGAGCGUCAC
rnacentral:rRNA from 1 species